GCCAAAGGCAGUGGUGUGCACCUGUAGUCCCAGCUACUCAGGAGGCUGAGGCAGGAGGAUCACUUGAGCUCAGGAGCUCUGAGCUGUAGUACACUGUGCCAGUUGGGUGUCUGAAUUAAGUUUGGUAUCAACGUGGUCACCUCCCAGGAGUGGGGGACCACCAGGUUGCCUGAGAGAGGUGUGAACCUUCCCGGGUCAGAACUGGAGCCGAUCAAGACUCCUAUGCUGAUCAGUAGUAGGAUCCCACCUGUGAAUAGACACUGCACUCCAGCCUGACCAACAGUCAGACCCCAUCUCA
ensembl:misc_RNA Metazoa_SRP Metazoan signal recognition particle RNA